AGAGUUUGAUCAUGGCUCAGAAUCAACGCUGGCGGCGUGCCUAACACAUGCAAGUCGAACGAGAAAGUGGUAGCAAUACCAUGAGUAAAGUGGCGCACGGGUGAGUAACACGUGACUAACCUACCCUGGAGUGGGGGAUAACUGAGGGAAACCUUAGCUAAUACCGCAUAAUACCCACGGGUCAAAGGAGCAAUUCGCUCUGGGAGGGGGUCGCGGCCGAUUAGUUAGUUGGCGGGGUAACGGCCCACCAAGACGAUGAUCGGUAUCCGGCCUGAGAGGGCGCACGGACACACUGGAACUGAAACACGGUCCAGACUCCUACGGGAGGCAGCAGUGGGGAAUUUUGCGCAAUGGGGGAAACCCUGACGCAGCAACGCCGCGUGGAGGAUGAAGUCCUUCGGGACGUAAACUCCUUUCGAUCGGGACGAUUAUGACGGUACCGGAAGAAGAAGCCCCGGCUAACUUCGUGCCAGCAGCCGCGGUAAUACGAGGGGGGCGAGCGUUGUUCGGAAUUAUUGGGCGUAAAGGGUGCGUAGGCGGUUUGGUAAGUCUUAUGUGAAAUCUAUGGGCUCAACUCAUAGACUGCAUGAGAAACUGCCGGGCUGGAGUGUGGGAGAGGUGAGUGGAAUUUCCGGUGUAGCGGUGAAAUGCGUAGAUAUCGGAAGGAACACCUGUGGCGAAAGCGGCUCACUGGACCAUAACUGACGCUGAUGCACGAAAGCUAGGGGAGCAAACAGGAUUAGAUACCCCUGUAGUCC
rnacentral:rRNA from 1 species